CUUUGCUGAAUUAGUGAUCGGCGAAGCAUUAAUAUUAGGAGAAUGACAUGUCACUAACUAAAGCAGAAACCGCGAAAAUCAUUGCUGAGUACGG
rnacentral:ncRNA from 1 species